AGGAACGAAGAGAAUGCGGAUAUGGUCGAAUGGUAAAAUUUCUCUUUGCCAAGGAGAAGAUGCGGGUUCGAUCCCCGCUAUCCGCC
rnacentral:tRNA from 1 species